AAUGAGGAAUUAUGGCAAAAUAAUUAUUGCUGCUGCAUUGCUUCUAGAUAUUAAAGUUAUGUCAUUUUAAAAAAAUUUUUAACUUCUUCUUCUUUUCUUUUUUUUUCUUCUUUUUUUAGCCACACCUGCAUCAUGUGGAAGUUCCUGGGCCAGGGAUCAAACCUAUGCCACAGCAGUGCCCAAACCACUGCAGUGACAGUACCAGAUCCUUAGCCCGUUGUGCCACAAGGGAAAUCCUUCUUCUUUGUAAUUUUUUAGUGCAUUCCAUAUUUUCUAAGUGACGAUUUAGUACUUUAAUAAUCCGUAAUAGAACUGAUAAGUAAACAAACACAAAAUAAACUUCCCAUUUCUGGAAUCCUGUCUCCUGUUACUCCUUCUGCUAGACUCUCAAGCAUCUUCCAAGGUGCAGGUCAAAGUUCACCUCCUCUGUGAAAACUUCCUAGACUCAGACAGAGUUAGUCACUCCCUCUGCUGGGUUUGUCAGCUCUUUGCAUGCGUCUCUCUCCCACAGGUAUCACAGUGACUCAUUUAUUUGUUGUUCCUACUAAACUGAGGGUCGGGGGCCGUCUUUUGUCAUCUUGUCUCCAUGAUAUCCAGGACAGCAUCUAAUACAAAAUAGAUAUUUAAUUCAUCAUUCCUGUGGUUAUUGACUGGCUCAGUUCUCUAUCUCUGAUUCUCUUGCUUGAAAUACGUGUCCUUUCUCAGCUGACCUUCCUAAGAAACCAAAGAAGUGGGAAGGCAUGAGGGCAAAGACGUUUCUCAGCUCCAUCAAGGACUGCCUUUCGUCUUCCAGCUCAUGGCCACAUGAGCCAAGGGCGCUGACAACACUUGAAGCACCCAAAUGGCAACUGGAUGGGAAAAUUGUUUUCAACUUCCUUUGCUUCGGAAUGGGAACCCAGUGCCCCUUCUCGUGGGGGGCUCCUUAGUGAGGUGUGGUGCCCUUCAUGCGAGAGAGAGGAGACUGGAGAACACGGGCUGAUUAAGACGGCAACGGAGCACCAAGGAAACAAAGGUUAGUCUUCUAAGUGUUUUUCUGAGCACCAGAGUUUCAAUUCAAGCCUCCCACACAGUGACAGGGAAAAGCCCAAGGCUGAAUGGUUUUGUUUUUACUUCAGUAGUAAAAUAUCAAGGAUGUUUCAGUGGAGAGUUUCUGAUAUACAUUUCAGUAUGUCAAGCUUUUAUCCGGGUCUCUAUAACUUGUGAGAAGAUGCUUGAGGCUGGUGCGAGGGCUGGUGAAGGGGUAUGCUAUGUGAUUAUUAUCGUUAUAUGGUGAGAAAAAAAUUUUUUUGUCCUCUCUGGGUUGAAGAGCAUUUGCUUUGUAAACACUGCGGCUGAGAAAUUUACAGACAUGGGAGGG
rnacentral:lncRNA from 1 species